GACGAACGCUGGCGGCGUGCUUAACACAUGCAAGUCGAACGGUGAAGCACCUUCCUUUUGGUGGGUGUGGAUGAGUGGCGAACGGGUGAGUAACACGUGAGUAACCUGCCCCCUUCUUCUGGAUAACCGCAUGAAAGUGUGGCUAAUACGGGAUAUUCUGUGCCUGCUGCAUGGUGGGUGUGGGAAAGAUGCGCUUUUGGGUGUUUUUGGUGGGGGAUGGGCUCGUGGCCUAUCAGCUUGUUGGUGGGGUGAUGGCCUACCAAGGCGGUGACGGGUAGCCGGCCGGAGAGGGUGGACGGUCACACUGGGACUGGGACACGGCCCAGACUCCUACGGGAGGCAGCAGUGGGGAAGAUUGCACAAUGGGCGCAAGCCUGAUGCAGCGACGCCGCGUGAGGGAUGGAGGCCUUCGGGUUGUAAACCUCUUUCGCCAGUGAAGCAGGCCUGUCCCUUGUGGGUGGGUUGACGGUAGCUGGAUAAGAAGCGCCGGCUAACUACGUG
rnacentral:rRNA from 1 species